rnacentral:rRNA from 1 species
UACAGAGGGUGCAAGCGUUAAUCGGAUUUACUGGGCGUAAAGGGCGCGUAGGUGGUUGCGUUAAGUGAGAUGUGAAAGCCCCGGGCUCAACCUGGGAACUGCAUCUUAUACUGCGUAGCUGGAGUGAAGUAGAGGGUAGUGGAAUUUCCGGUGUAGCGGUGAAAUGCGUAGAUAUCGGAAGGAACACCAGUGGCGAAGGCGGCUACCCUGGACU